CACCAGGUAAAUUCCUGCCAAUAAACUGUUGGGCCCCAAGUAUGAUGCCAAUGUGCCAGAAGAUAACAGGUUUCAUCCAAGCAUGCUCUCCCAAUAUUUAAAGCGUCUCAAGGUUAAAAUGGGUUUGCUUGUUGAUCUAACAAACACUACCGGCUUCUACAGUAUGACCGCAACGAGAUCGAGAACGAGGGUGUUAAAUAUGUGAAGCUUCAGUGCAAAGGAGACUACUGAGAUGUUCAUCAGACUGUGAGCACUUCAUGGAGAAGACUACCACUGAAUUGGUGUCCACUGCACGCACGGCUUCAAUCGGACAGGCUUUCUGAUCUGUGCAUACCUGGUGGAGAAGAUGGAUUGGAGG